rnacentral:rRNA from 1 species
UUUCCGUAGGUGAACCUGCGGAAGGAUCAUUAUCAAAACAGCGGACUUCGGUCUUUGCUGCACCCUUGUCUUUUGCGCACCGAAUUGUUUCCUCGGCGGGCUUGCCUGCCGGUUGGACAUUAUCAAAACCUUUUUGUAGUUGCAAUCAGCGUCAGAAAAAUCAUAAUUAUUACAACUUUCAACAACGGAUCUCUUGGUUCUGGCAUCGAUGAAGAACGCAGCGAAAUGCGAAAAGUAGUGUGAAUUGCAGAAUUCAGUGAAUCAUCGAAUCUUUGAACGCACAUUGCGCCCCUUGGUAUUCCAUGGGGCAUGCCUGUUCGAGCGUCAUUUUGUACCCUCAAGCACUGCUUGGUGUUGGGCGUUUGUCCUGCAGAGGACUCGCCUGAAAGCGAUUGGCGGCCAACGUAGUCGUGGCAGAGCGCAGCACAAUCUCGCGUCUCUCCCCUCUGCGUCGGCGUCCAUGAAGCCCACAAUCUCAACGUUUGACCUCGGAUCAGGUAGGGAUACCCGCUGAACUUAAGCAUAUCAAUAAGCGGAGGA